rnacentral:rRNA from 1 species
UACGUCCACAUCACUUUGAAACACCGGUUCCCGUACGAUCACUGAAGUUAAGCAACGUCCAGCCUGAUCAGUACCUAGAUGGGUGACCGCUUGGGAAUGUA